rnacentral:rRNA from 1 species
CCUACGGGUGGCAGCAGUGAGGAAUAUUGGUCAAUGGGCGGAAGCCUGAACCAGCCAAGUCGCGUGAGGGAAUAAGGCCCUACGGGUCGUAAACCUCUUUUGCCGGGGAGCAAGAGCGGGGACGUGUCCCUGCCCGGAGAGUACCCGGAGAAAAAGCAUCGGGUAACUCCGUGCAGCAGCCGCGGUAAUACGGAGGAUGCGAGCGUUAUCCGGAUUUAUUGGGUUUAAAGGGUGCGUAGGCGGGCUUUUAAGUCAGCGGUAAAAAUUCGGGGCUCAACCCCGUCCGGCCGUUGAAACUGGGGGCCUUGAGUGGGCGAGAAGAAGGGGGAAUGCGUGGUGGAGCGGUGAAAUGCAUAGAUAUCACGCAGAACCCCGAUUGCGAAGGCAGCCGUCCGGCGCCCUACUGACGCUGAGGCACGAAAGUGCGGGGAUCGAACAGGAUUAGAUACCCCUGUAGUC